GAUGAACGCUGGCGGCGCGCCUAAUACAUGCAAGUAGAACGCUGAAGCUUGGUGCUUGCAUCGAGCGGAUGAGUUGCGAACGGGUGAGUAACGCGUAGGUAACCUGCCUCUUAGCGGGGGAUAACUAUUGGAAACGAUGGCUAAUACCGCAUAAAAGUCGAUAUCGCAUGAUAUUGAUUUGAAAGGUGCAAAUGCAUCACUAAGAGAUGGACCUGCGUUGUAUUAGCUAGUUGGUGAGGUAACGGCUCACCAAGGCGACGAUACAUAGCCGACCUGAGAGGGUGAUCGGCCACACUGGGACUGAGACACGGCCCAGACUCCUACGGGAGGCAGCAGUAGGGAAUCUUCGGCAAUGGGGGCAACCCUGACCGAGCAACGCCGCGUGAGUGAAGAAGGUUUUCGGAUCGUAAAGCUCUGUUGUAAGAGAAGAACGAGUGUGAGAGUGGAAAGUUCACACUGUGACGGUAACUUACCAGAAAGGGACGGCUAACUACGUG
rnacentral:rRNA from 1 species